rnacentral:rRNA from 1 species
CUACGGGUGGCAGCAGUAAGGAAUAUUGCGCAAUGGGCGAAAGCCUGACGCAGCGACGCCGCGUGGGGGAUGAAGGCCUUCGGGUUGUAAACCCCUUUCGUGAGGGAAGAACACUGACCUAACCUCAGGAAGAAGCACCGGCUAACUCCGUGCCAGCAGCUGCGGUAAUACGGAGAGUGCGAACGUUGUUCGGAUUCACUGGGCGUAAAGGGCACGUAGGCGGCUCGGCAAAUCGGUUGUGGAAUCCCGGCGCUUACCGUCGGAAUGGCAGCCGAAAAUACCGGGCUCGAGGGCGUGAGAGGUCACUGGAACUCUUGGUGAAGCGGUGAAAUGCGUAGAUAUCAAGAGGAACGCCGGAGGCGAAAGCGAGUGAUUGGCGCGUUCCUGACGCUGAGGUGCGAAAGCUAGGGGAGCAAACAGGAUUAGAUACCCGAGUAGUC